AGAGUUUGAUCCUGGCUCAGGAUGAACGCUGGCGGCGUGCCUAAUACAUGCAAGUCGAACGCUUCACUUCGGUGAAGAGUGGCGAACGGGUGAGUAAUACAUAAGUAACCUGGCCUUUACAGGGGGAUAACUAUUGGAAACGAUAGCUAAGACCGCAUAGGUGUCAUAACCGCAUGGAGAUGACAUGAAAUAUGCUACGGCAUAGGUAGAGGAUGGACUUAUGGCGCAUUAGCUAGUUGGAGGGGUAACGGCCCACCAAGGCGACGAUGCGUAGCCGACCUGAGAGGGUGACCGGCCACACUGGGACUGAGACACGGCCCAGACUCCUACGGGAGGCAGCAGUAGGGAAUUUUCGGCAAUGGGGGAAACCCUGACCGAGCAACGCCGCGUGAAGGAAGAAGUAAUUCGUUAUGUAAACUUCUGUCAUAGAGGAAGAACGGUGCAUGUAGGGAAUGACAUGCAAGUGACGGUACUCUAUAAGAAAGCCACGGCUAACUACGUGCCAGCAGCCGCGGUAAUACGUAGGUGGCGAGCGUUAUCCGGAAUUAUUGGGCGUAAAGAGGGAGCAGGCGGCACUAAGGGUCUGUGGUGAAAGAUCGAAGCUUAACUUCGGUAAGCCAUGGAAACCGUAGAGCUAGAGUGUGUGAGAGGAUCGUGGAAUUCCAUGUGUAGCGGUGAAAUGCGUAGAUAUAUGGAGGAACACCAGUGGCGAAGGCGACGAUCUGGCGCAUAACUGACGCUCAGUCCCGAAAGCGUGGGGAGCAAAUAGGAUUAGAUACCCUAGUAGUCCACGCCGUAAACGAUGAGUACUAAGUGUUGGGAGUCAAAUCUCAGUGCUGCAGUUAACGCAAUAAGUACUCCGCCUGAGUAGUACGUUCGCAAGAAUGAAACUCAAAGGAAUUGACGGGGGCCCGCACAAGCGGUGGAGCAUGUGGUUUAA
rnacentral:rRNA from 1 species